GGCAGGUAGCCUAGUGGUUAGAGUGUAGAGGUGGCAGCGUAGCCUAGUGGUUAGAGUGUAGAGGUGGCAGGGUAGCCUAGUGGUUAGAGUGUAGAGGUGGCAGGUAGACUAGUGGUUAGAGUGUAGAGGAGGCAGGUAGCCUAGUGGUUAGAGUGUAGAGGUGGCAGGGUAGCCUAGUGGUUAGAGUGUAGAGGAGGCAGGUAGACUAGUGGUUAGAGUGUAGAGGAGGCAGGUAGCCUAGUGGUUAGAGUGUAGAGGUGGCAGGUAGCCUAGUGGUUAGAGUGUAGAGGAGGCAGGUAGCCUAGUGGUUAGAGUGUAGAGGUGGCAGGUAGCCUAGUGGUUAGAGUGUAGAGGAGGCAGGUAGCCUAGUGGUUAGAGUGUAGAGGAGGCAGGUAGCCUAGUGGUUAGAGUGUAGAGGAGGCAGGUAGCCUAGUGGUUAGAGUGUAGAGGUGGCAGGUAGCCUAGUGGUUAGAGUGUAGAGGAGGCAGGUAGCCUAGUGGUUAGAGUGUAGAGGAGGCAGGUAGCCUAGUGGUUAGAGUGUAGAGGAGGCAGGUAGCCUAGUGGUUAGAGUGUAGAGGAGGCAGGUAGACUAGUGGUUAGAGUGUAGAGGUGGCAGGUAGACUAGUGGUUAGAGUGUAGAGGAGGCAGGUAGCCUAGUGGUUAGAGUGUAGAGGAGGCAGGUAGCCUAGUGGUUAGAGUGUAGAGGAGGCAGGUAGACUAGUGGUUAGAGUGUAUAGGGGGCAGGUAGACUAGUGGUUAGAGUGUAGAGGUGGCAGGUAGACUAGUGGUUAGAGUGUAGAGGUGGCAGGUAGACUAGUGGUUAGAGUGUAGAGGUGGCAGGUAGACUAGUGGUUAGAGUGUAGAGGAGGCAGGUAGCCUAGUGGUUAGAGUGUAGAGGUGGCAGCGUAGCCUAGUGGUUAGAGUGUAGAGGUGGCAGGUAGCCUAGUGGUUAGAGUGUAGAGGUGGCAGGUAGACUAGUGGUUAGAGUGUAGAGGAGGCAGGUAGCCUAGUGGUUAGAGUGUAGAGGUGGCAGGGUAGCCUAGUGGUUAGAGUGUAGAGGAGGCAGGUAGCCUAGUGGUUAGAGUGUAGAGGAGGCAGGUAGUCUAGUGGUUAGAGUGUAGAGGAGGCAGGUAGACUAGUGGUUAGAGUGUAGAGGUGGCAGGUAGACUAGUGGUUAGAGUGUAGAGGUGGCAGGUAGCCUAGUGGUUAGAGUGUAGAGGUGGCAGCGUAGCCUAGUGGUUAGAGUGUAGAGGUGGCAGGUAGCCUAGUGGUUAGAGUGUAGAGGUGGCAGGUAGACUAGUGGUUAGAGUGUAGAGGAGGCAGGUAGACUAGUGGUUAGAGUGUAGAGGUGGCAGGUAGCCUAGUGGUUAGAGUGUAGAGGAGGCAGGUAGCCUAGUGGUUAGAGUGUAGAGGAGGCAGGUAGCCUAGUGGUUAGAGUGUAGAGGUGGCAGGUAGCCUAGUGGUUAGAGUGUAGAGGAGGCAGGUAGCCUAGUGGUUAGAGUGUAGAGGAGGCAGGUAGCCUAGUGGUUAGAGUGUAGAGGAGGCAGGUAGCCUAGUGGUUAGAGUGUAGAGGUGGCAGGUAGCCUAGUGGUUAGAGUGUAGAGGAGGCAGGUAGCCUAGUGGUUAGAGUGUAGAGGAGGCAGGUAGCCUAGUGGUUAGAGUGUAGAGGAGGCAGGUAGCCUAGUGGUUAGAGUGUAGAGGAGGCAGGUAGACUAGUGGUUAGAGUGUAGAGGAGGCAGGUAGCCUAGUGGUUAGAGUGUAGAGGAGGCAGGUAGCCUAGUGGUUAGAGUGUAGAGGAGGCAGGUAGCCUAGUGGUUAGAGUGUAGAGGAGGCAGGUAGCCUAGUGGUUAGAGUGUAGAGGAGGCAGGUAGACUAGUGGUUAGAGUGUAGAGGAGGCAGGUAGCCUAGUGGUUAGAGUGUAGAGGAGGCAGGUAGCAUAGUGGUUAGAGUGUAGAGGAGGCAGGUAGCCUAGUGGUUAGAGUGUAGAGGAGGCAGGUAGCCUAGUGGUUAGAGUGUAGAGGAGGCAGGUAGCCUAGUGGUUAGAGUGUAGAGGAGGCAGGUAGACUAGUGGUUAGAGUGUAGAGGAGGCAGGUAGACUAGUGGUUAGAGUGUAGAGGAGGCAGGUAGCCUAGUGGUUAGAGUGUAGAGGAGGCAGGUAGACUAGUGGUUAGAGUGUAGAGGAGGCAGGUAGACUAGUGGUUAGAGUGUAGAGGAGGCAGGUAGCCUAGUGGUUAGAGUGUAGAGGAGGCAGGUAGACUAGUGGUUAGAGUGUAGAGGAGGCAGGUAGCCUAGUGGUUAGAGUGUAGAGGAGGCAGGUAGCCUAGUGGUUAGAGUGUAGAGGAGGCAGGUAGACUAGUGGUUAGAGUGUAGAGGAGGCAGGUAGACUAGUGGUUAGAGUGUAGAGGAGGCAGGUAGCCUAGUGGUUAGAGUGUAGAGGCAGCAGGUAGCCUAGUGGUUAGAGUGUAGAGGAGGCAGGUAGCCUAGUGGUUAGAGUGUAGAGGCGGCAGGUAGCCUAGUGGUUAGAGUGUAGAGGAGGCAGGUAGCCUAGUGGUUAGAGUGUAGAGGAGGCAGGUAGACUAGUGGUUAGAGUGUAGAGGAGGCAGGGUGGCCUAGUGGUUAGAGUGUAGAGGAGGCAGGUAGCCUAGUGGUUAGAGUGUAGAGGAGGCAGGUAGCCUAGUGGUUAGAGUGUAGAGGAGGCAGGUAGACUAGUGGUUAGAGUGUAGAGGAGGCAGGUAGCCUAGUGGUUAGAGUGUAGAGGAGGCAGGUAGCCUAGUGGUUAGAGUGUAGAGGAGGCAGGUAGCCUAGUGGUUAGAGUGUAGAGGAGGUAGGUAGACUAGUGGUUAGAGUGUAGAGGAGGCAGGGUGGCCUAGUGGUUAGAGUGUAGAGGAGGCAGGUAGCCUAGUGGUUAGAGUGUAGAGGAGGCAGGUAGCCUAGUGGUUAGAGUGUAGAGGAGGCAGGUAGCCUAGUGGUUAGAGUGUAGAGGAGGCAGGUAGACUAGUGGUUAGAGUGUAGAGGAGGCAGGUAGACUAGUGGUUAGAGUGUAGAGGAGGCAGGUAGCCUAGUGGUUAGAGUGUAGAGGAGGCAGGUAGCCUAGUGGUUAGAGUGUAGAGGAGGCAGGUAGCCUAGUGGUUAGAGUGUAGAGGAGGCAGGUAGCCUAGUGGUUAGAGCGUAGAGGAGGCAGGUAGCCUAGUGGUUAGAGUGUAGAGGAGGCAGGUAGACUAGUGGUUAGAGUGUAGAGGAGGCAGGGUGGCCUAGUGGUUAGAGUGUAGAGGAGGCAGGUAGCCUAGUGGUUAGAGUGUAGAGGAGGCAGGUAGCCUAGUGGUUAGAGUGUAGAGGAGGCAGGUAGACUAGUGGUUAGAGUGUAGAGGAGGCAGGUAGCCUAGUGGUUAGAGUGUAGAGGAGGCAGGUAGCCUAGUGGUUAGAGUGUAGAGGAGGCAGGUAGCCUAGUGGUUAGAGUGUAGAGGAGGCAGGUAGACUAGUGGUUAGAGUGUAGAGGAGGCAGGGUGGCCUAGUGGUUAGAGUGUAGAGGAGGCAGGUAGCCUAGUGGUUAGAGUGUAGAGGAGGCAGGUAGACUAGUGGUUAGAGUGUAGAGGAGGCAGGUAGACUAGUGGUUAGAGUGUAGAGGAGGCAGGUAGCCUAGUGGUUAGAGUGUAGAGGAGGCAGGUAGACUAGUGGUUAGAGUGUAGAGGAGGCAGGUAGCCUAGUGGUUAGAGUGUAGAGGAGGCAGGUAGACUACUGGUUAGAGUGUAGAGGAGGCAGGGAGCCUAGUGGUUUGAGUGUAGAGGAGGCAGGUAGUCUAGUGGUUAGAGUGUAGAGGAGGCAGGUAGACUAGUGGUUAGAGUGUAGAGGAGGCAGGGUGGCCUAGUG